rnacentral:ncRNA from 1 species
UUUUAAACUGUGAAGGAGAGAGUAGGUAUAAGGGUACAUACAGGGAGUAAGGGUCAUAGAUUGAAAGCCUUUAUAUGAUAAAUUUAUGCUGAAGUUCACUCUUGAGUUCUAAUUGUGAAAAUAGGUUUUUAUUAAAGCAUUAUAAGUAAUGAUUAGCGAUUAAAAUCGAUAAAUUUACUAAGAGGGUCUAUUUUAUAGUCCAAUUAGGGUGGUACCGCGGAUAUUCCGUCCCUUUU